AGCAAUCUCCUCCAAGCUGAGGUCGUUAAUCACCCAGAUGGACAGAAAUAAGCCAGCAGCAAGCAGAGACCACCACUCUGGAUGGGGAUUCAGAGAGGGUCGCAGAGGAUGGGAGCAGCCUCAACAGAUGAGAAUGGCCUCGUCCGACCUCCCUGACUGCCUCCUUGUUGCAGGAAAAGAAAAGCGAAACUCAGGCAGGCGAGCCAGCAGCUCCUGGAGUGUGGUGCCAAAGUUGAGAGGGCAGAAGAGCCUCGCCUACCCAAGUCCCUUCCCAUGAGCUCUACCCAAGCUAGAAAGGAUCUGGGAAGCCUUUGAAGAAGAUUCCUAACAACCCUGGGACAUCUCAAACCAUCUGAGGCUGGUUAACGUCUGGAACUGAUGCCACAAGAUCAACUGGAGUUCACCUGCUGAAGCCUGGAGACCAGCAAAGUUGUUCCAUCAGCCCUGAGAGGAGGAGGUGUUGUGCCUUCACUAACGAAAAACAGGUGGAGCUCCUCACUGCUGCACUGAUGGUGAGCUAAGAAAGAUCCUGAGGAUUUGUGGAUUUGUAAAGAUGAACAGAUCGUUCACACUGAGCCUUGAAAUCGAGCCUGUUGUGCACUGCUUCGGGCUCAUGAAGUGCUCGCGUUCCCAUAUUAAUUAUUAACAAAGCUAAAACACUCCAGAGAUUGGCCUGGAAACAUCAAAUAUGCUUAAUAUUAAUGGCUCCCAGAUGAUAGCUAGCAGUGAACACUUGAAUGUGUUAAAGACCAAGGAGGAAAAUAACUACUGAAUACAAUCAACAUUUUGAAUAUUAAUUACAAAGAGAAUACAUGUGUGAACCACAAGGAAUACCUUCCUAUAGCAUUGCCUAGUGCUUUCUUACAGCAUUGCCUGCUAUCCAUUUGAAAAGACUGAUCAUAUUCUUUACACACAUGGGAAGAGGCUUAACUUGCUUGGAGCAUAGGGAGGUAGUGAGACCAGCCACUCACCUCCUUGUACCUGAGAGGAGCUGCCUGUGGCGUGGGACUGCUGCCUACUUAUGCUGCUCUCCUGUUAGCUUCCUCCCUUGUGAUUUCUGGCUGAUUCCUCAGUAGGAAUAUUUUGCUAUGAAUGGUUUGCUUACCCCCAAACUCCACUGCAUGACUCCUGCCCACCUUGCCAAGAGGGCUGCGAUGCAGCUCUGCUUAGGGUCCUGGACUUCAAAGGGUACGCCACCUCCCAGAGGAUGCAGAGACAAGGAGAUCAAGUGUGGGAAAUGAGAGACACGUUAUCUAACAAAGGACAGAAUUUGCAGUGUUUUACCUGAUUAAAGCACUCAGGCUCUCUCUGCCAUGUGCCAUGAGCUGCUCAGUGGGCUGCUUUUUACCAGUGGGGGUAUCAAGUUUAAGGAGAUGUACCCUGGCCUCUCUGAUAAACUUGGUGGCUCCUGACCAGCUGGCUUACACUGUGAGUCUGGGACAGGAGCACUGCUACAAAGAGAGCACAUAUGGCUCGUUCCCUUAGGAAACCAGGCUAAAAAUGGCUGUAGGCAGCACCUUUCUAGUCUAGAGAGGAGGUUGCUGACAGCCAUAAAUGUUUCCCAGCUCGAUAAUCUCACCCAAAAGUGUUUCACUUGUCUGUGUUCCCCAGGCAGUUGUAAUGUGUGCAACUGCCAGUGCUUUGCCAGUGCUUGGAGAGAGAAAUGUUUAAGUCAUGUUGCCUAGCACAGAAAGCAAGUGUGGGUGUGAACAUAAGGGUUUUUGCUGGGAUCCCCACCCAGAUUUGGGAUGUAUAGUACAGACGUGUUCACAGGGAGUCGUGAGAUGGGGUCUGUGUCUCCUUGCUUUGUAGUGUGCCAAUGGCCACAUGGUAUUCCUACUUCUUUCAACUCAUGUCUAAACCGUUGGCUGGUUUUCACCUGGUUCCCAGCCUCGUGCUUUGAGUCUUAUGGGGGCAGUCUGGAAACGCACAGGAAGUGAAAUUGUUUAAUCUGUUUGAGCCUGAGCAGCCUUGCCUAACACCAGCCACUGAUGGAAGAGCAGCAUGCUGUUACAAAGGGGUGAGGCAACUCAUCUGUUGCCAGUGAGCCAGGAAGGAACAAAGAUACCUCGAGAGGGAAACCAUUAUCUGCUGUUACCUACAGCAGUUCCCUUUGUAAUUGAAAAACGUAUUAAAAAUUAUUUUGGGAACUUCUAAUUACUUUGUCGAGGCACUAAUGUGCUCAGGAUGUUUCAGAAACUUUAGUAACUGCCCAGAAAGAGGCCACCACAGAGAAAUCAGUCUUUCCUGCCUUGACCCGCUGCUGAAAGGUCAAGGAGGAUGAAAAGUUGUGCAGAAAAUGAGGUUGAGCAACAGAGGUGGUGUCUGACAAGUUCCUGGGGAACUCCCUCUGACAGUGCCCAGCCCUGCACGACUUCAAGCUGGGAACACUGCAAUAAGAAGCUUAUAUUGAGUAGCUGUCCUUAGAGGAAUGUACAGCUAGAAGAGCCAGAAGGCAAAAGAAAGAAAAAACAGGGACUUGCAUAUGGGCAGCCUGGUGCUUGACAAGCCAUGCAGCCAGCUAUGGAAAUGAUGGUUUGUAGAUGCAAGCACUCGUUUUCCUUUCUGCCCAGCUGGGGAUAUUUUUUUAGCAUAGCUGAAAUGAAAGCAUUCUGUGGCAGUUUGGUGAAUUUAGAAAAAUCUUCUUUUGUUUCUACAACUGGCAAGAAAUCUGAACACUGGAGGAUUUGACAGCUCCUGCCCAACUUUUCUUGGCUCUUCGCUGAUGGAGAAUAGAGAAAAUAAUUCCUUCACUUUCCUACAGGGAAGGAUCGGAAGGUUUUUAAUACCGUAAUAAUUAAUGCUGUGGAACAGCCUACAGGAAAAAUGCAGAGGAUGGUAAUUGGAUGGGUGCAGGAGCUGACUGAUGAGCUGGCUUGGGGUGCACAGGGGCAGAGGAAACACCCUGAGCAGAUGAGUCACUCCCAGAGACCAUUCCUGGUUCCCUGAGCACGGAAAAACAGGAAUGCUAUGGAUGCUAAGAAAACGUGUUAUGGCUUAAAAUCAGAGGCCCCCUUAGUUCUAAUACACUGUAACAUCUGAAGUGUUUCAUUUCUGUUUCCUCUGAUGUUUUCUUACUGUUAUCUUCUUUCACUUCCGAGUUUAGGCCAAUGUCUUUGUUUCAGGAAACUAUAAUGACCUGCCUUCCUGCCCUGCUGGUGAUUAGCACAGCUGGAACCCGAAUUCUUCAGCACCAGCAUGGCUUAUUUUAGGUAAGCCAGGAACCAUCAGCUGUCUGCUGCUGCUCUGGGUGGGUGAGCAGACAGGUGAAAGGAGAUGAGGUAACUGCUGCACUGCUUCAAGUACGUAAUGCAGAACCACGAGGCAUCACAUACAGGAGCAGUUCUUUCUGUCAUUAAGUGGUUGGAACUGUUCCCUGAGAGGAGACAUAGCAAUAAGUGAGUGGAAGAUACUGGGACCUGAAUAAGUGUGGAAGAUCUCUACGAGCAAAGCAAGGUUAUGUUUUCCUGCACUUUAGAAAAGGCACGUUUUUGCUCUGAGCUGCACUUCACAUCAAUCCAGAUGAAUUUCCAUAGGGACAGCAAAAGGCUCCUCCUUCCCCUUCUCCCACUCCAGCGAGGGAAUCAAACUGCAGUGCAGAGCUCACAUAAGCUUUUCCAAAACAAUGUUCACACGCCAUUUUACAGAACGGUAUGACUAAUUAGUGCAAACAAUCUGCUACAAACAAUUGGUGUUUUCAGACCGUAUGUUGUGGCUACGUGUUACGGCAGCCCCAAACAACUCGAGUUUAAGAAAACUGGGAAGGCCUGUGUGGAAAAUUUAGCUCAGCUUGGAAUGCUUGGGACAGGAGUGGAUGAGGCCACACAGCAUGGAGCAGACAAAGCAUGGGAAAUCCAAGAAGAAGGAAGCCUCCAGCCCUUGUAAGCAGGCCACGUGUCCCCUUGCUCUCGUGUCUACGCACUGUCAGAGCAGCAAAGACAGAAGGAAUUCUUCCAUACAUUAAUCACGAAGAGAUGCAGAGCCAGCUCCAGCUGAUGUAAUGCAUUGUUUUCACCAAAGUUAUCCCAGUUUAGUCUUGCUAAAGGAAAACCCAUCUGCUUUUUGACAGAUGUACAUGCAGCACUCCCAGAUGAAAUGUGCCUAUCGAUCUCUUGCUGCCUUUGGCCCAGGCUCUGGGAGAAAAGGUGUAGGGGUGCAGUUCUUGCCUUGGCAGUCUUAUCACUGCAUGAUCCUACUGUCUGGAAUGGGAUUUUAUCCCCACGGCACUUCUGGUAAGUGAAAAGGUGAGUGUUGUUAGGCCAGGUGGAACUAAUGCAUGAUGUAUUCUUAGCAGGUUCCUCCAAGAACAGCCUAGAGCUGUCUUAACACUUAGCUUCACAGCAAGAGGGGAAGCCAGAGGAGGAGGAGCAGCCAGAUUUUGCAACUGGAGGGAGCAGAUAGUGAUACAGAUUACAAACAGCAGUCCGUGACUGCUUUGUGUGUGAGCCAGGCACUGCCAUCAGCUGCUGUGCAGCAGCCUGGGACAGAUUUGGCUCCCUGUAACUACAGCUGCUGUGGAGCUGGCUUAACUUUGCUUUGUGCCAAAAUGCUGAGCUGUGGUGUGUCUGCUCCUAAUUAGAUUAGGUCUGUAGAGGCUGCCGUGAGUGGGCUCCCACUGUAACCCAAGACGGGCAGUUUUCAACAAGCUCAGUGAGAGUUUUCAAAUGGCAGGUGAGUUCCCUGCUUGGCAUGGUAGUGUAGAGCACACAAGAUUGCCAUGCUGGGAUUAUGUCAUCCAGUCCAGGAGCAUCAGGACAACCUCUCUGCAGCUGCAGUGGUGCUGCCUGUGAUAGAUACUCGUGUCCCAAGCCUCGUGGCAGGGAAGAGAGCGUGCAGUGUUUGGGCUAGUGCUAGUGAUGGCAGCCAAGCACUCAUGAUAAUGCUCACAACUUCUUUUGGAUUUGUGUCCAGAACUUUGGCAAUAAACAUCUGAUUUCCAGACUGCAAUUACGUAUGGCCUGUUUAGCUGUAGGCUUUUCUGCUAACUUGGCUCCAAGCUUUACACAGAAUUAUCCACAGAUCUUCUCUCCAAAGGAGUUUAUAGAAAAGAGAUGCAGUUGUUCUGUUUUUCACUGGACAAGCCAACUCAUCUCAGAAAAGAUCCUCCUGCUGCUUAUGCUAGCAGCUUUUUCUCUGCAGAUAUGAAAGCCUGAAUGCUUCUUAACACGGGUAAGCAGACAAAGGGACACCAUUUUAGGUAAGGUCACGUAGAUGUUCUGUGCAAUGGUAUAAAUAUUUGCAUUGGGAGACCCUUACCUGAAAUGUUCUAACAUUAAACAUAAUUCUUUGUGUUGUGAUGAUGGCACACAACCAAACCAUGACUGAUUUAUAAUCUCAGAACUUCCUCCUCUCUGACAUUUCUAUGUGAUGAGAUCAUGAGCUUAGUCCUUGACAUGGGACUUGCAGUCUGCUUGGUUUCGUUCCAUUUGUGUCUCAAAUCCUUAACCUCUUCCCAUUCCCGUAUGAGUUUACCUUCCUUUACUGAUGUUACUUCAUACACUGUCAUCCGAGUAUUUCAUUAGUGCUAUCUUAUGCUAUCUUACUUGCACUAGGGUGCUAAUGAGAAUAUUAAAUGAAAUCAAGCCCAGGGCUUUGAAAGACUCCCUCUGAUGGAAGAGUCUUCCUCAACAUUGAAAGAGGCCCAAUCCAGACACCUCCAGAUCCCCAAACAAAAAAGAGAGCAAGGUGUUUGGCUGCUGGUGUUGUGCAAUUUUUUUUCUCUAGUCCUUUUGAAGUUCACCUUUGAAGGCCAGCAUUUUAAGGAAUCAUAGAAUCACAUGGGUUGAAAAGGACCACAGUGCUCAUCAAGUUUCAACCCCCCUGCUAUGUGCAGGGUCGUCAACCACCAGACCAGGCUGCCCAGAGCCACAUCCAGCCUGGCCUUGAAUGCCUCCAGGGAUGGGGCAUCCACAGCCUCCUUGGGCAACCUGUUCCAGUACUGGAGCACCUUGGGAAGCUGCUAUCAAUUAUGGCUUUGCUGUGAUCCCUCACUGCAUAACCAAAAGCCCCAGGAUAGAAAAGUCAAAGCCAAGCAAGGUUCCCAGCCUGCCAGGACUCCCCUGAUGCAAAUAACCACUCAGCUGACCUGAAGAGUAAUAAAUCUCACCCAGACAAAUCUGCACAGACGCUAGCAGUCUCCUGGGCCCUAUCUUGAUACUGCUCAGAUGUGGCAACAUCUGAAAGCAUUUCCCAUGAGGGUUCAUUUGCUGAGGAAGAUCAUCAUAGGCUCCUUAGGAGGUAUAAGUGUAGAAGCCCUCUAGUUGCCCUAGUGUUUUUUUUUUUUUUUCCUGAAGUACUUCAGUACCAGCACAUAUUUGUCUGUGAUGUAAUUUUUUCCCAUUAAUAAAUCUACAGACUCUGCAGGAUAUGUUUGCAAAAUGUUACCACGUUAAUGGAGCUCUGCUCCUUUCAAGGAUCUUGGCAAUAUGAAAUAUUGGCCUCUUAGGUGUAGAUUUUCUGAAGUAUUUAAGCAUUCCACUCUCCUUGGACUAAUGGACAUCUUGUUAAAGCUGUCAGACUUCCUUUCUGGCUCGCCAGAUGCCAUGAUCUUACAGUGGAGCAGAAGGUGACCCUGUGUUUUCUUUCUAUGCUGUCAUCUAGCCACUGGUUUCCUCUAUCCCAGGCUUUAAAGCUAAUAGAAAUGUAAUCAUACUUUGCUGCGCAAAACAUAAAACCAUCCAUUUUAUUAUGUAGAAAUGGUCUACUGAGUACACAAGCAGCAGUAGUUUUAACAGCUGAUGGCUUGUUCUGGCUCUCAAGAGUGUGGUUUUACAAGAUGGUUUGGUUUGAGAGCAACACAGAGGGAAAAUUGUAUCUUUGGGAUGUGCUCUGCAUGAAACAGCCUCCUUGUACACAGGAUAUUGGAGAAUUAUGCUCUUAAAAUAAAGCCCCUUGAAACUGG